AGAUUGAACGCUGGCGGCGUGCUUAACACAUGCAAGUCGAGCGGUAGCAGGCGUAGCAAUACGUGCUGACGAGCGGCGAACGGGUGAGUAAUGCUUCGGAAUCUUCCUAGUAGUGGGGCAUAACCUGGGGAAACUCAGGCUAAUUCCGCAUACGACCUAUGGGUGAAAGCAGGGGAUCGCAAGACCUUGCGCUAUUAGAUGAGCCGAAGUCGGAUUAGCUAGUUGGUGGGGUAAAGGCCUACCAAGGCGACGAUCCGUAGCUGGUCUGAGAGGACGACCAGCCACACUGGGACUGAGACACGGCCCAGACUCCUACGGGAGGCAGCAGUGGGGAAUUUGGACAAUGGGGGCAACCCUGAUCCAGCCAUGCCGCGUGAGUGAAGAAGGCCUCGGUUGUAAAGCUCUUCAGCCGGAACG
rnacentral:rRNA from 1 species